rnacentral:miRNA from 1 species
UGAUACUGUAAAAGACAGCUAA